GUCAGCUGAGGUGUUGGUCCAUAUUGAAAUCACUACAGAACUCAGGCUGCAAAGAAGACACUCCCUGGAAUGUUGAGGAUCACUGUUGUAGAAGCUGAAAGAGACGAGGGAAGUCUUCAAAUUGGCAAUAAAAUGGUAAAGGUAUACGUCACUUAUAAACAUGAUGUUUUGACUGAGUUUUGUGGCUUUUCUACUGGCAAGGGGACAAGGAGGUGCAGCUCUAUGAGGCUCUGGAAGGCAGAAAACUGGAAAUAUUCUUAGAGCUGGGCAGAUGCCUACCUUGGGCCAUAACUAUUUUUUUAAAUACUUUAUUUUUUAAAGAGAGAGAGAGAGAGAGAGAGAGAGAGAGAGAGAGAGAGAGAGAGAAUUUUUAAUAUCUAUUUUUUAGUUUUUGGUGGACACAACAUCUUUGUUUGUAUGUGGUGCUGAGGAUUGAACCCGGGCUGCAUGCAUGUAGGCAAGCAUGCUACCACUUGAGCCACAUCUCCAGCCCCACUGGGCCAUAACUAUUAAAAUCAAAACAUCUAUACCCACUGACUGAACAAUGCCAUUUGUGAGAAUUCAUACUAUGAAAAUACUUCCAUCAAUACCCAGCCUUGAAUGUUCAAGGAUUUUCUCUUCAGCCUUGAAAAUCUGAAUUGAAAACUAGAAUAACCAUCAAUAGUGGAAUUAUUAAAUAGAUAAUAGGGUACUAGUACUUUGGCAUUCUAUAAUCAUUACAAAGAAUAAGAUAGAUAUUGAAGACGAAUUGACUCAAAAAAUACCAAACUUAUGCAUAGAAUGAUAUCAUUUAUCUUACAUAUUAUGUUAAAAUUAGGACUAUAUUUGCAAUAGAGAAAGGAUAAAAAAUGUUCUUUAUAAUAGUACUAAUAUCUAUUGUUUAUUGAGCUUUUAGCAUGGUUAGGAACUGUACUACUAAAUGUUACAUGCUUCAUAAGCAUGAUUCUCACUUUAAAGAUGAAGAACUUAAGGCUCGGAGAAGUUCAGUGACUUGUCUAAGCUCACACAGAUAAGCAGUUCUACAGUUAGAAUCCCAGUGUGUCUGAAAAAUAGCUGGCACUGGGCCGUUGGAUAAGGUUAGUGGUGAGGCAUAGGAAAAAAAGGCUUUCACUGUCCACUUUAUGGGGUUUAAUUAGCUUGCAUUUAUUUUUGUUUUUCUUGCAAUAAGUAUGUAUUCCUUUUUGCAAAAAUGAUCUAAAAAUAAAAAUGUGAAGUAAUGUGAAGGGGACGAAAUAGAUCAGAGACAGCCAUGCAUACAUGGAAAAAAAAAAACUACAAAUGUACUCAAACUCUAUCCAAGUGCCUGAAUUCCAACAGCAGGAGAAAGAAAUCCUACAUCAAAUUCAGUAUCUAAAGCAAAAAUGGGCUGGUUAGCCUGUUGAAAACGCUGGGAGGAGGGGUCUCUCUUCGAGACAGGGUGGCCUGGCAAAUGGCUCUCCAGUGAGUCUAGCAGACUCCUGGGGAAACUGCAAAGGCCAUCUUGAGAAACUUUUGGUAAAUAUUGAGGACAAUGAAUCACUGAAAACAAGCAGCAGGUUUCAUAAAGAAUAACUCAUGUCAGGCAAUUUGACAGCCCUUUAAAAAUAGAAUUAUUAGGGUGGUGAAUAAAAGAGCCAUUAUGAGCCUCCGCAUGUGGACUGCAUCGUGACUGUCUCAGGAAGCACUCCCAUCUAAUGUUUUCCAGUAGGCUGGUGCUGGGGACAUGGGAGAGGACUGAGACUGGGAGAUAGAAGACACUCAUUUAUGCAUUCAAGGGUGCAAAUUUGUACAUACAAGGACAUUCAUCACAGCACUGUGUGUUAUAGGGAGAAACUAGAAACCAGUUUAACAUCACCAGUCGGGGAUUAGUUAAAAGCAUAUUGGGGGCUGGGACUGUGGCUCUGUGGUAGAGCGCUCUCUUAGCACUGGCGGGGAACCCGGGUUCAAUUCUCAGCACCACAUAAAAAUAAAGGCAUUGCGUUCUAUCCAUCUACAAAAAAAAAAAAAUUCAUAUUCUCUCUCUCUCUCUCUCUCUCUCUCUCUCUCUCUCUCUCUCUCUCUCCUUUAAAAAAUAUUUUUAAAAAGCAUAUUGGUCCAGGUGCUCAUGUUUGAGACCCUGUCUCAAAACAAAAGAUACAAAGAACUGGGGAUGUAUCACCAUGAUAUAGUGCCCUGGGUUCAAUCCUGGGGACUAGGGGAAAAAGAAAAAAGAUGGGAAUAUCCAUGAAUGGACUUACAUGUAGCUUUAGCUUUUUCAGUCAGGGUUGGCAAUCUAUGACCCCUGGGCCAAAUGUGAUCCAAGAAUAGGGAAUAAUUUUUAUUGUUUUAAAUGGUCAAGAAAAAUAAAUAAAUGAAGAAUAAUAUCUCAUGACAGGUGAAAAUGUGUUGUGAAAUUUCAAUUCCCCCAUACAUCAGUGAAGUCCUGAAGUAACACAGCCUGCCUUUUCAUCUCUGAGUUGUCCUUGGCAGCUCUAAGGCUGCCAUGGCAGAGCUGAGUAGUUGUGGCGGGGACCUGAAGAUCUGCCAAGCCUACAAUAUUUACUGUUGGGCCCUGGACAGAAAAAAGUUUGCUGACCUCUGACUCCAACAGAUCAUUAAAUGAGAUUAUUAAGCAGAAUGGUUUCAUUCUGGUAUUGGAGUGUCUGUGUUUCCCCUUUCAUCCUGACUCUUUCUCAGCUUUCUUUGAACUUGUUUAUUUGGUUAUUUUUCUGUUUCUGUUAGUCUGUCUGCUUCUGUCUUUAUGGCUGUUGUGGAUCUCACUAUUGGUGUUUUUUUUUUUUUUUUUUUUUUUGGGGGGGGGGUGGGUAGGAAUUGAACCCAGCAGCACUUAACCACAGAGCCAGAUCCCCAGCCCAUUUUUGAUGCUGUUGUUUCUGAGACAGGGUUUUGCUAAGUUGCUUAGAGCCUCAGUAGAUUGAUGAAGAUACCUUUGAAUUUGCGAUCCUCCUGCCUCAGCCUCCCAAGCCACUGGGAUUUUAUGUGUGCACCAUCACACCUGGUUCAUUCAUGAUUCUAAAAAACAAAAAUUAUAUAUUUUUAUUAGACAAGAAAUAUCUAGUCCUUGGGGGAAAGAAAGUCAAAUAUUAAGGCAAUAUAUCCCAUGUCAGCCUCUGCUACUUGAUUGGAAACUUGCUGAGAGCAAGGGACCAUAUUCUUGUUUUAUCCCCUGCACUUAGCAUAGGACCUGGUGCAGAGUAAACCCUUGGUAACACUUCUUUUUUUGGGGAGAUAGGUACCAGGGAUUGAACUCAGGGGCACUUGACCACUUAGCCACAUCCCCAGCCCCAUUUUGUAUUUUAUUUAGAGACAGGGUCUCACUGAGUUGCUUAGCACCUGUGUUUUGCUGAGGCUGCCUUUGAACAUGAAAUCCUCCUGCCUCAGCCUCCCAAGCCACUGGGAUUACAGGUGUGUGCCACCAUGCCUGUCUCCUCAAUAAUACUUCUUAAUGAACUAUUGCAUGCUGUAUCUGUGUCUACGGUGUCUUUUGCAACCUAUUAUUCUGCAGUGUGCUUUUUCUUUUCUUUCUUUUUUUUGUUUUUUGUUUUUUUUGGUAUUGGGUAUUAAACCCUGGGGUGCUCUACCACAAAGUCACAAUCCCAGCCCUUUUUAUAUUUUAUUUUAAGACAGGAUCUUGCUAAGUUGCUAAGGCUAGACUCAAACUUCCAAUCCUCCUACCUCUGUCUGCCCCACAGUGUGCUUUCUUGUAUGUGCUAAUAGACAUAAACUAUAGGAAGUGUAUGAGGAGAGAAAGCAUUUUCCAUUCUGACCACAGAAAACACACCCUUCUGUGUAGUAGCCAAGGCCCUCUUAGUAACUGGCCUUCUGUACAGCUCAGAUGUCACCUCGGGCAAGUGCAGUGGAUCACAGUCAGGAAGCAUUUUGUUAAUUUGUUUUGUGGGUGACACACCAGCAGGGACACAGGAAACCUGGCAUGGAUCAUUUACUGGGCCUUCUUACUUAGGAUGGUAAUUGUAUUUCUGUGCCAUGAGCCCAAAUCUCGUUGCUCUCGCGCCUAACCAUCUUCCUUCCUUGUUUCUAUUUUUAAAUUUUAUUUUUAAUGGAUACAUAAUAAUUGAACAUAUUUAUUGUGUAUAUUGUUAAUUUUUUUUUUUUUUGGAGUGCUAGGGAUUGAACCCCGGGCCUCAUGCAUGGUAGGCAAGUGCUCUACUACUGAGCUACAUCCCCAACCCCCAUCUUGAUGUUUUGAUGCACAUACACAUUGUGUACUAAUCAAAUCAGGGUAUUUGGCCCAUCCAUCACCUCAUACAUUUAUCAUUUAUUUGUGGUGAGAACAUUCAGACUCCUCAUUAUUUAAAAAUAUUUGAUAUGAUAUCAUUAACCAUAGUCACCCUGCUGUGCAAUAGAACUCAAAGACUUAUUCUUGCUGUCUAACCAUAGCUCUGUCUCGAUCAUUCAGUCACUUCCUAUCCCUCCCUGCCCUCUUUCUACUCUUCCCUUCUAUGAGAUGAGCUUGGGCAGAUUCCCUGACUCAUCUCGACUCUUUGAUCUGCUACUCUGACCUCCUUUUCCUGCUUUUCUAAGACUUCAUGCAAAAGCAGGAGUUAAGAACAUUAUGUUCCAAGCGAAUGGCUCUGUGCAUGGCACCUUUGGAACCUCAGAUUUAUGGAUCAAGUUGGGCAAGUUUCAUGCCACCUAUUUUUACAGAUAAGGAAACUGGGGCACAGAGAAGUGAAACAUUUUGCCAAGGUCAAGGCCUGUUCCAGAAGCAGUGCUCCAAAGUGCUUUGCCAUGCUGUGUCUCUACUGCACACGGUUGGGGUGCCUUACUGGCCUUUGUAUUCUCAGUACCUGGCAGAAAUCCCAGGGCCAGGAGCAGAUACUGUCUGCCUGUUGAAAAGGUGGAUUAGAAGCACACUUUAUGAGACUUCCCCAGGCUUCCUCAUGCAAAUGCUGUUGGACAAGUUCCCUCCUAACCUGGCUGAGGGUGGGAUGGGGUACACUUGGUUAGAACUUUCCUGGAAAGCAAUUAGGCAAUGUUGCCCUCCAGCAAAAUGUGCUAACCAUUGGGCCAGAACAUUUUUAUUUAUAGGAAUUUGUCUUCAGGAUAAAAAAAAAGAUCACAGAUGUGUGUGCAACAACAUAUAUACAAUGAUGUUUAUUGCAGUGUUGGCUAUCAAAAUGGACAACUCGAAACCAUCCUAAUGCCUGACUAUAAAGAAUUGGUUAAAUAGCUUAUGGUACAUUUCUCUGAUGGAACAUUUUGCAACCAGAACAAUAUCACUCUUAAUGCAUAAAGUGGUUACCCCUGGAGAAGAAGAGAAUGUAUCCCGAGGAACACAUGGAAAGCUCCAGCUGUGUUUGUAAUGAUUUCUUUCUUGAGCUGGAUGCUUAUUAUCUCAUGCUUUCCCCCCUCCUCCCCUGGGGGCCUCAUGCACACUAGACAAGCACACUACCACUGAGCUGCAUCCCCAGUCCUAUUAUCUCAUUCUUUACACCUCUUGAUAUGUCUAAAUUAUUAGGUAAUUAGGUGAAAAAUGAAAUUUUAAAAUAUCGUGUUUAGAAUACUUAGUGAUGUGUCAAAAUAAUCAUAAAAUAUUAUGCCUAAGCAAACAGGUUGUAAUAAAUAGUACAAACAAUAUCAUGACGAUUUUCUAAAUCAGAGCAUGCAUUUAGGUAUGAAAGAAACCCAUUAAACUUUAAAUUGUGUUUAUACUUGGACAGUGUGGUUUCAGGUGAUUUCCAUUUCUACAAUUCAACAGUAUUAUUUUGUACAAAAGAAGUAAUACUUUUUCACUUGCAGACUUUCAUCUCUUACUACUUUCUGCUUUCCUCAGUAAGAAACUCCAGAAUUAUUUUCCACUUGUCUCUUCCUUUGAAUCUACCCAUCCAGGGUUUUGAUUUGAUUUUUGUUAUUCACAUUUUCUUAAUCUUCUCCUUUGUUGCUGGCUGGUCUCCACAAGAUUUUAGACCUUAUUUUUUGUCAUGUAGUGAAAUCACUUGAUCAUGGAGUUAUCCACACCCUGACCUGGUGAUGUUGAAAACCCUGAGUUUUCUUUUAGCCAAUCUGUGUUUCAUUUUUAAGCUUCUUAUGGAUAAAAGUCACAGGGUUUGGCAAUAAAUUGCUUGUGAUGAGUCAAGGAUGGUAAUAAGCUGCAAAUUGACUUUAUAACUUCAUGCUAGUGAGGUGUGUUGGGAUACUCAAUAGUUCUGUCCCAUCACUUCCAAAAGGUGAUUAAAUAUUAAUGGACUAGAGUCCCUACCUGGAUGUGAAUUCAUGAAGGGGAAGACUGUGUGCACAGGGUCAAGCAGGCGAGGUUGACCGGUCUUUUUUUGAAUUCAUUCUGAUGGAGAACCGGCUCAGGAUAUUGAGUGGCAGUGUGAGAGCUCAUGACCUUGAUCUCGGAGGGUUUGUUUAAGAAAUCACAACUGGAAGAAAGACAUUGAGGUGACAGAAGAGGCCCUGCAACUCCAUUGGAAAUUGAAAUGGUUUCCUGAAUAAAGAGAAACAGCAGAAGUCAAGUUCAUUUGGAGUGUUUCAGCAUAUGUUCUGAAUUUGGAAACAUUGUAUAGAAGCAAGGCAGGGAAACAAGAUUUUUGCUGCAUUGCUUAGGAAAUGUGUGGGAAAGUGUUUAAAACAGGAGGAUUCAAUUAUAAGAGUUUUGUAUUCAAUUAUAAGAGCUUUGUAUUCUUAUGACUAUAUCACUUUCCCUCCUAGGCCAGAAAGAGUAGAUCAGAAAGUUCUGGAUGAAUGGAUUAACGAACUGAUCAAAUCCAUGAUUAAUCAUGGAGGUUAAUCUCCUGCCUCCUGUGUGGAUUCAUCAAGAUGUUGGUGGUUGGAGGUGACAUAAUCUCAAUUCAGAAACAACUUUGGUAAAAUCAGAAGGGACUUUAUUGGCUGCUCUGAUUGAAAAGGCCAGUGGGUAGUGCUAUGUCCAUCAUGGCCGGAUUCAAGGUACUCUUCCAAAUCAAUUUUUGCCAUUUUAUCUCAUGGCUCAUUUGCUUCAAAAGUAAGGUGAUUUUAGUUAACAUAGGGAAAAUUCCAGGAAAAUAAUAUGCCACGUUUUCCAAUCCAUAGUACAUUUGAUUGAGUAAAGUGAAUUUAAAGGGGUUUGAUCCUCAAGCAAGGUGACCUCUCUCAGGUGAAUUAAAUCAUGUCUCAUGUUGCUUAAAAGAUGUUGUGACUGUAGAGAAAUGUUGAAAGGGACAGAAAUCAUUAUGGAGUUUCCCAUUUCCUAUUCCUAUUCAUUUUUCAAAAUAAUACAGAAGAAUCCUUUACCAUCUAGGUUUUACAAAUAAAAUUAUUGGAAGAUUUCUUUGAAGUUGGCUGAUUUUAUUUUUUGUACUGUAAACUAUUUGGUAAAUCUAAUUUAAAUGCAAUUUUUUAAUGACUAGUGUUGAUAUUAUGAUUCAUCACUCAUUUACUUAAUUAGCAACACUUGACUUUAUAUACCCAAAAUGUCCAAUUUGCACCCUGGCA
rnacentral:lncRNA from 1 species